GACGAACGCUGGCGGCGUGCUUAACACAUGCAAGUCGAACGAUGAACCCGGAGCUUGCUCCGGUGGAUUAGUGGCGAACGGGUGAGUAACACGUGAGUAACCUGCCCUUGACUCUGGGAUAACUGCGGGAAACUGUAGCUAAUACCGGAUACGACCCUCGGCGGCAUCGCCAGGGGGUGGAAAGAAUUUCGGUCAAGGAUGGACUCGCGGCCUAUCAGCGAGUUGGUGAGGUAACGGCUCACCAAGGUGACGACGGGUAGCCGGCCUGAGAGGGGGACCGGCCACACUGGGACUGAGACAGAGACCAGGAUACUGCGGGAGGCAGCAGUGGGGAAUAUUGCACAAUGGGCGCAAGCCUGAUGCAGCAACGCCGCGUGAGGGAUGAAGGCCUUCGGGUUGUAAACCUCUUUUAGCAGGGAAGAAGCGAAAGUGGCGGUACCUGCAGAAAAAGCACCGGCUAACUACGUGCCAGCCGCCGCGGUAA
rnacentral:rRNA from 1 species